rnacentral:tRNA from 1 species
UCAGAAAAUAGUUUAAUGUAAAAUGCCAGCAUUNGGA